GGGCCCGCACAAGCGGUGGAGUAUGUGGUUUAAUUCGAUGCAACGCGAAGAACCUUACCAGGGUUUGACAUCCUGCGAAUCUCUUGGAAACAGGAGAGUGCCUUCGGGAACGCAGUGACAGGUGGUGCAUGGCUGUCGUCAGCUCGUGCCGUGAGGUGUUAGGUUAAGUCCUGCAACGAGCGCAACCCACGUCGUUAGUUGCCAGCAUUUUAGUUGGGCACUCUAGCGAGACCGCCGGUGAUAAACCGGAGAAGGUGUGGAUGACGUCAAGUCAUCAUGCCCCUUACAUCUGGGCUACACACGUACUACAAUGCUACGGACAAAGGGCAGCAAACUCGCGAGAGCUAGCAAAUCCCAUAAACGUGGCUC
rnacentral:rRNA from 1 species